rnacentral:rRNA from 1 species
UAGUCCACGCCCUAAACGAUGAGUGCUAAUUCUGGGAAUUUUCUGGGAUAAAGCUAACGCGUUAAGCACUCCGCCUGGGUAGUACGAUCGCAAGAUUAAAACUCAAAGGAAUUGACGGGGGCCCGUACAAGCGGUGGAGCAUGUGGUUUAAUUCGAUGAUAACCGAAGAACCUUACCAGCUCUUGACAUGUACAUUUUGACUACACGAGAGUGGGUCUUCAUUUAGUUGGGUGUACACAGGUGUUGCAUGGCUGUCGUCAGUUCGUGUUGUGAGAUGUUGGGUUAAGUCCCUUAACGAGCGCAACCCUUGCCGUUAUUUGCCAUCGAGUUAUGUCGGGGACUAUAACGGGACUGCUAUUGAAAAAUAGAGGAAGGAAAGGAUGAUGUCAAGUCAUCAUGGCCCUUAUGGGCUGGGCUAUACACGUGCUACAAUGGAUGGUACAGUAUGUUGCGACACAGUAAUGUGAAGCUAAUCAACAAAGCCAUUCUCAGUUCGGA